AUGAUGUGCAUUAUUGUAUUGUCAUUCCAGUUCUGCUCUGGAUCUUCAAAAAAUUCCUGGAGUCAUACAUAUACCCUCUGGUUUCCCCUGUUGUCAGCAGUAUAUGGCCUAAAAAGCUAUACAUGAAUCCAAUGCUAAAAAUACAGGCAAAGUAGACUGCAAGGGUGCAGAUACCAUUGGAUUACCCACAAAAGGACCAACAGAGGUCUCUGAUAAAAAUAAAGACUAGGGUGGUUUUCUGAAAGCCCCUGUCUGUUUCAAAUGGACCCAAUAAUAUGAAGCACCUUCUUUGUCUCUUGCCUUUUUUCUCUGAGACCAGGAUUCUAGAUAAGCAGUUUAG